AUUAUGGUGAUUUAUACAACACUUCAAUAAACAGGAUUACAAUUCUGAUUAGUCCCGAUCCACAAUGCUGCUCAUGUUCACUAAGUUCAAUUCACUCACCAGCAUUUCGGUGCCUACGGGGCUACUUUCACUUUCACAGGAAGUGAAUGUAGGUCGAGGUCAAAUUAACGUCGUAGGCCCUGUUGUUUGGAAUUGGAAACUCUGAACAUAGAUUGAUCAUACAUGAUGAGUAUUUACUCAAUGAUUGAUCAGGAGAGAUACUUCGAAUUACAUUUCAUGCCCAGAUAUGUUGGGCCCAAUGCGUCUUUGCCCCAACCAUCACAAACUGACAAACGGAUGGUGACCGUGAUACUGAUAGUAACAGCUGAGUAAGGCUACAUGUACCCGAUCAUUACUGAAAGGCAACCGGGAUGCAGUCUUUAAAUCUGGAGUUCUGGACAGAACUGUGCAUUUCUGGAACAAUGAUGAGUCUAAGUGAAAUGGUAAUUUGUCAUGAAUUUCUACAGUGGCUACAUGUACCCUGACCAUCUUUGAAAGGCAACCGGGAUACAGUGCAGUCUUUAUCUGGAAUUCUUGGCAGAACUGGACAUUCCUGGAACAAUGAUCAAUUCAAGUGAAACAGACUCGGGUGCAAGCAGAAAUUCUUGUAAAUUACAGAAUGUAUUCCUUAAGAGAGGCAACAUGUGACCUGAAAACAAUUCUAUUCAGAUCUAUUUAAGGAAUGAAUUCAAUAUCUAAUUCAUCCAAGUAUAUACUGGGUUUGGGCAGUUUGCGCUUUUUUAAACUGCUAAGUGUUUUAUGAAAAAGCACAUUUUUGAACUUGUAAAAGAAAUCAGACCAACUGCUGAUAUACGUGGUUUUCAGUGAGUUAAUCAACGAUUAUCUAUGAAAAGUUAGCUACACUGAACAGUUUCUUUUUUACAUGAGUAUAUAUACCUGAAACCCAUUGCACAUCAUAAGAAUUUUAUUUUAUUUUGGACCGUGCUCUUGUUGUAAAGUAUUAUGUGUAAUGCAUGCGAGUUGUGGACGGGGGUUUGUAGUCAUCUGAGAACAAGGAUGGGUGGACUUAGAGAAAUCUUGAUAUGCUAAACCCAGUUUUAGAAGAAACGAAGAAAGCAAACACUAGAUCAGUUCCAACUAACAGAGCUGUCAAUCAGGAUAAGCAAUAAAACAUGUUGACCAAAUUGGCACUCAGCUGUAAUAAAACAUUGUAUGUAGGGAACAUGUACUAGAAGGAAAGAGCGUUUAUGUAUACAUUUAGUUUUUAUGUAAUAUUCAUUAAUUAUUAUUAUAUGAUUGAUAUUAAAUAUGUAAAUACUUAU